GCUUCUGCACCACCACAUGAGAAGGGUGCUUUGUUUUAAUUGUCACAUUUGUUGUUUGGAAGGAUGCUCCUCAAGCACAGAAUUUUCUGGGUGACCUUUCCGUAAGAAUUGCAUGCAAAUGUCCCAGUGGAAGGUCGUGAUUGGUCUGGAAAGGUUAUCUCCAUUCGUCUAGAUGACCGUCUUCACAAAAGAAGAAAGUUCAGGUGACGCUCUUUGAAAUACACACCGGGAAACACUGUGUGUCAGGAAGCCGAGCCACAUUUCCUUCUUCUCGGCCUCGUGAAGGCUGGCCUCUGGGCUGUAAGCGCCUGGCUCCUCAGCAGCGUUCUCUGUCAUGAUGCCCAAAACUGGGUCCCGCUGGCCCAGUCGAGCAUGCGCCAGCACUUGCGAAUAGCUGUCAGAUGGAUGGAGUGGACGGACAGAUGGAUGGACGGGUGGAAG